AACCUAGAUGAUAUUAUACAGAAACAUCCGCCCGGGCAUUACAAGCAUAGCUUAAAACCCAAAGGACUUGGCGGUGCCUCAGAUCCCCCUAGAGGAGCCUGUUCUAGAACCGAUACCCCCCGUUAAACCUUGCCAUCCCUUGUCUCUCCCGCCUAUAUACCGCCGUCGUCAGCUUACCCUGUGAAGGACAAACAGUAAGCAAAGUGGGCAGCCCCCAAAACGUCAGGUCGAGGUGUAGCGUAUGAGAUGGAAAGAAAUGGGCUACAUUUUCUAAUGCAGAACAACACGAACAGCGCCCUGAAAUAGACGCUCAAAGGAGGAUUUAGCAGUAAAAAGAAAACAGAGUGUCUUUUGAAUUCGGCUCUGAAGCGCGUUGAUACACAAUUUCAUUUCAAUUAAAACGGUCUUUGCGGGGGUUCAUGGUGGGGAGGAAACGAGAAA
rnacentral:rRNA from 1 species